rnacentral:lncRNA from 10 species
GCAAUAAGUACUUACCUCUAUAUUGAAUGAUAGGUCAGAUGUUGAAGUGGUCACUUCCAGUGUGGUUUUAUUUGGAACUGGGACCUCUAAGAAAGCAAUUAAGGUUAAAUGAGGUUGCUCUGAUCUGACAGUAUUAGUGCAUUUAUAAGAAGAGAAAUUAGGGAGCUAUCCAGCCCCAAUGAGAAAGAAGAGGUCACAUAAGCACACAGCAAGAAGGCUGCUGUCUACACGUCUAGAGAAGAGGCCUCAGAAAGAAGCCAGCCUUGCCAGCAAUUUGAUCUUGGACAUUUUAGCCUUGAGAACUGUGAAA